rnacentral:rRNA from 1 species
UACGAAGGGGGCUAGCGUUGCUCGGAAUUACUGGGCGUAAAGGGCGCGUAGGCGGACAGUUUAGUCAGAGGUGAAAGCCCAGGGCUCAACCUUGGAAUUGCCUUUGAUACUGGCUGUCUUGAGUUCGGGAGAGGUGAGUGGAAUGCCGAGUGUAGAGGUGAAAUUCGUAGAUAUUCGGCGGAACACCAGUGGCGAAGGCGACUCACUGGCCCGAUACUGACGCUGAGGCGCGAGAGCGUGGGGAGCAAACAGG